UGCUGAAUCACAGGUCUGAAAUAACAGUGGGUGUGGGAAACGAAAGGACAGCGAGAACAGGCCUGGAAUCCACGCACCAACCAGCACUCCUAAGGCGCUGGCACUCGAUAACACAGUGCUCAGGGGCCUGCCACCAUUCACCCCCUAGAACACAGUUUCUGCAGUCUGUUACGAGCUGGCUGUCGCAGUAAUUACGAGUUAGGGCUGAAACACGUAUGACCUCUCCGUGCUGUUUUUUUCCAAUUACUAGAAAGUCACCUUCUGCCCAGCCUCUGUCUAAAGGGCACGGACCUGGAGAAGGGGCACAGCAAGGGCGUCAGCCUGUAACUGCGUUCAAGCGCUCUGGUCUUCGUAGAAGGUUACCGAUAGCCUACGAACCCCCUGCAACACUGCAGAACUGCACUAGAGUCGAGAGCGACAAAAGUAACAUGACUAAUCUGCUUCAGGAGAUAAAUGGCUAGCUUUAAUGAGGAGUCAAGAUGACCACUAAACAUAAAAGAAAGAAUGUCUUUUGAACUGGUCCGGAUUCUUUAACUCCAAACUAAAGAUAGCUUCAGCGGGAAGGGGGCUGUUUGUAGUUAGAGCAUUUAUUAAUAAAAAUCUGUUUCGCCCAGUGCUGUUGAAGCUUGACACAUACUUCCUGUAUGACAGAUAGACAACAUCUGAUGAACAAUGUUGGGAACCACAGCUCUGAAUAAGUAUUGCUGACAGGCCAUCCAAGCCUUGACAAGUGCCCAACAAGUAUUAUGUAACAGAAUAUCUGAUACAAUAAUUAAGGGAUAUUUAAGUAAACCAUCAACAACACUUUGAA